GGUGGGAGAGGGUUGCAGAGUGGUUUUGGAAUUUGCACUUGCUUUUAAAUCCCAAAACUACUCUGAUCCCCUCUCUCUCU
rnacentral:misc_RNA from 1 species